UACGUAGGGUGCAAGCGUUGUCCGGAAUUAUUGGGCGUAAAGAGCUCGUAGGCGGUUUGUCGCGUCUGCUGUGAAAACCUAAGGCUCAACCUUGGGCUUGCAGUGGGUACGGGCAGACUAGAGUGCGGUAGGGGUGACUGGAAUUCCUGGUGUAGCGGUGGAAUGCGCAGAUAUCAGGAGGAACACCUGCGGCGAAGGCGGGUUGCUGGGCUGACACUGACGCUGGAGGCGCGAAAGCCCAGGGGAGCAAACGGG
rnacentral:rRNA from 1 species